AGAGAAGAUAACCCUCUCCAGACCUCAGGAGCUUCCCCAAGCUGGCCCUGGACUCAGAUACUCAUCCCUACUGUCUGGAGAUCUCAGCAGAGAUGGUCUCAGUGCAGCUGGACUACUGGAAAGACAGAUGAAGAGAGAUGAGUGGCUGGAGAAAUAGAGUCACCUCAACCCCUUCAGCCGCUUCUUUGGCAUCAGGAAGCAGUCCAGGAAAAGAGUGCUACUGGAAGUACCGUGUCUAACCCAGUCAACCGUCCAUAGAGUAAUACAUUCACACCAUGCAUUAUGAUGAAGAGAUGUGGCCUGUACUGAGACACAACCCCUCUCUUGCACACAACAAAGCAUACACAUGCGCACAUAUGUACAUGAACGCAUACUGUACAUUCACACACAGGAAAACACACACACAUAAGGACACUACACACAGACAGGGAUGGACUGAAUGGAUAUCCCACAGGUUGAUAUAUGUUACAGUAUGUUUGCGGACUAUUUAGUUUUUUUCCCUGUCCCACCUGUGUGUUUUAAAUGUUCACUGUUUGAUGUUACUGAGCAAACAUGACCUGCAUGAAGAACUAAAUGGCUGUGCUGUAUAUUAAAUACAAAUAAAA